rnacentral:lncRNA from 1 species
AUCUGGGAUGUGAUAUUGAAGGUAGAGUGCCGUAAGGCCCGAGAAAAGUAAAAUCCGGCAUGACUAAAUCAACACGAGCGCCAC